AUGAAAAAAUCGCCCCUAAUUGCUGCUGGCAGGGAAAAGCUGGGCCCGGUCCCGAUGUCCUUGUCCCCGGGGGGGGGGACGGGGACAUCACCGGACUGCCACGGCCCUGGACUGGUGCCCAGUUUGGGAGCUGCACCCCCCCCAAAAUGCGCACAGCCCCCAGCGCUGCACUGUGCCGUCCCCACGGGACCCGUAGGAUCCCCACGGGGAUGUCCCGGGGGGGGCAAACCCGGCUCUGAUCCCCCCCCCCGGCUCAAAGACACCCAGCACAGCCCAGUCCGGCCCAGUUUAACCCAACCACGAACUGGGGGAGGACAAAACCUCAGGGUGGGGGGGGGGAGAGGAUGGCGGAGGGCACCCCCCCGGUGUCACCUCCCUGCCCGCUCCCCCCGGCACCCCGGGGGGGGGGGCUCCGUACCCCAAAUCCGCAUCCCCGCCCCGUUCCCCAGCCCCUGUCCCAUUGCGGGGGGGGGUCCCCGUUCGCCCCCCCCGGGGUCCCCCCCGUUUCGCACCGCUCCGUGCUGCAGCCAUGGCGACCCGGGAUGCGGUUGCUUUGGCAACCGAGGCGUUUGGGUACCGGCCCCCGCGCCCCGGGGGGUUUUUUUUUUUGGGGGGGGGUCUCGGAAGGGUGGGGGGGGUCGGGGCCGAGCCGGCAGCACCCUUGGGUGCCCCCGGGGGGGACACGCGGGGGGGCCCCGAGGUGCCGCGUCCCCAUCCGGAGAGGUUCGGGAGCACCGGAGGGGACUGGGGGGGUCCCGGGGGGGGGCGCUUGGAGCAACCGGGGGGGGGUCCCGACCCCCCCCCCCGCCACCUGCAGCAUCCCGGGGCUGUGGGGGGGGGGCGCAGAGCACCGGAACCCACCCGGGGUCCCGCUCGCAUCCUCUGGAGGGUUGGGGGGGUCCCGGGGGGGUCCCGGUUGCUCCGGGGGGGGCUCCCCGGCCGGUGGGGGGGGGCACCCUGGGGGUUGAAGCCGCCCCCCCCCCGCAGCCCGUCCCGGUGGGGAUGGGGGCUCAGCAUCACCGGGCAGGGUCCGGCGGUACGGUGAUGGGCACAGGGGGGGCAGGACUCCGGUGUAACCCCCCCCCCCCCAAAAAAAAAAAAACC
rnacentral:lncRNA from 1 species